rnacentral:rRNA from 1 species
CAACUAGAUGUGGGAGGUAUCGACCCCUUCCGUGUCGUCGCUAACGCUUUAAGUUGCCCGCCUGGGGAGUACGGCCGCAAGGUUAAAACUCAAAGGAAUUGACGGGGGCCCGCACAAGCGGUGGAGCAUGUGGUUUAAUUCGACGCUACGCGAAGAACCUUACCUGGGCUCGAACGACUAGUAGUAGUCCUUUUGAAAGAGAGGGCGACCCGCAAGGGAGCUAGCUGAGGUGCUGCAUGGCUGUCGUCAG